rnacentral:lncRNA from 1 species
AAAUUUGUAUUUAAUGUUAGCCCAUUUUUCCAAACUUUCCCAUGAGGAAGAUAAUCAAAACCCAAGUUUGAAGGAUAGCUUCACUUUCCGCCCUACUUUCCUAUGGACCAGGCAACGAUUUCUCAUGCCUGGACUUACUAAACGGGAGCUUUGUGACAUUCUGAAGGUAGAUUUAUUUCCCCAAUACAUCUAAAGAGCUGCGAUUCUUUUUUUUGGAUUCUCUCUUCUCUUCUCUCCUCUCAACUCUCAUCUCUCAUCCCAGAUUUCUCUCUAAAUUUUUUAUUUAAAUGUUAAAUAUUGAGAUGUUUUGAUGACUGCCAUAACUUUUUUCUGGGUUAUAGGUCGAGAUCUAUGGUUUUUUAGGGGUUUUUUUUUUUUCUUCUUUUGAAUGUUGUCUUUCAAAUCUGAGAUACUUUCAUUCUUUGGAUUCUUUUCAUUUUGUUUCGAAUUACCUUUGUUUUGCUAAACUACAACUUUGUUUCUCAUGUCUAUUGUCUCCUCUCACUGCCUACAAGAAGCCAUGGAUCAAAGGCUUUGAGAAUUCAAAUCAGAAUUUUGUAUUUUUUUAUAUUAUAAAUAUUGGUUCUGUAAUUCAUUGUCUCUUUUCUUUACGAUGAUGGGUUCUGUAUUUUAUUUAUUUAUUUUAUCAGAGAUGAUGGGUUUUGUUUGUUUCUAAAUUGCAGUUCCUAUUGUAUUUUUUUUUCUAUGAGUGUUCAUGACCCAAUCUCUCUCUUUCUUUUUUUUUUUUUUUUUUGUAACUCAAUAAUCUUUUUUUUAAAUGAUGUUAAAUAAUCUAAUAAACAGUAAAUUAAUUUUGAAAUUAAAAAAAAAUGAAGUCCAAUGUUAUCCAGUGUGGCCUUGUACAAAACAAUGGACUGGACUUAAUUCCAAUCUAGUCUAGUGCUCUACCAAACAACUCAAUAAGAUUUGAAGUCUAGCCCAAUUCAAGCCAGUUCAAUCUAAUACUUCAAGCCCAAUUUCAACCAGUCCAAUCUAACAUUUCAAGCCCAAUCCCAAUCCCAACCAGUCCAGUUCAACCUACCAAACAGUGUCUUGAGGUGCACGUUCUUCAUGCGCUCCUGGGGUGCCAAGGCAAAGUUAUUCUCUAACACUAAUCAAAUUGGUCACGCCCAAUAAAGUAAUUCACUCAUAAAACUGGUCACAUCCAGCAAAGUUAUUCUCUCAAACACUCAUAAAACUUGUCAUGCCCAAUGUCACUAAUCUCUAAUUAGAAAAGGACAAUUGUGGCUAAGCCAUAUUAUGGAACAAUAAAUAGAAUAUUGGCCGCACGCUCCAUGUUGGUUGGGAGGAAUUAAUGAACAGUAAAUACUAAUACAAGCCUCUUUGGCCACGGUUCUUGUGUCUAUUUAUUUAGCAACCACACGUCAAUUAGAGCGACGAUUUUAGAAUUACUAACUGUGAACUAUGUAUUUUUUUGUCACAUAUGUAUAAAUAAUUGUUGCUACGAGACCAUGUAACGGGAAUUGGUUCUGCACUAUGGCUAGGAAUGGCUUUUGUUCAUUUUUAGUGCUGCACUAUGUAUAACGGACACUAUGGCUAGGAGGAGCAAUAAGUUGGAUUAAGAUGAUCCGUACGAGAGUCCUUGGUCUCCAUUUGCCCAAACCCAUCCUUGAUCCUCCAUCCGUACUCUAUGUAUGCACCACAACUAUCCUUGGUGGAAGAGGACCAGUCAGUUGUUGGAAAGGUAAUUAACUGGGAGUAAACCAUACAUCUUAAUGAUGAUGGCAAAAAUUGCACUAAUUUUUUUUUUAAUAAAACGCUAUAAUUUGUUGUAUAUCAUUGGCCUCUCCGUCCAGACUUAUUUAUUUCACUCAUACGAACAACAAGGGAGAGGAGAGGCUACCCCAUCUCAAAACUAGGGCAUGCCAAGGUUUCUUUGAGGACUUCUAGAGGAG